UACGUAGGGUGCAAGCGUUAUCCGGAAUUAUUGGGCGUAAAGAGCUCGGUAGGCGGUCUGUCGCGUCGGCUGUGAAAACUUGGGGCUCAACCCCAAGCCUGCAGUCGAUACGGGCAGACUAGAGUGCGGUAGGGGAGACUGGAAUUCCUGGUGUAGCGGUGAAAUGCGCAGAUAUCAGGAGGAACACCGGUGGCGAAGGCGGGUCUCUGGGCCGAUACUGACGCUGAGGAGCGAAAGCGUGGGGAGCGAACAGG
rnacentral:rRNA from 1 species